rnacentral:lncRNA from 1 species
GACAAAGAGUCUCUAUAACAGUCUCAUACCUCAGGGGAGUCUCAAAAAUUAUCUCUUCUAUUUUACAUAGACUUGAGUUGACGUGGAAAAUAGUGACUGAGAAUAUUGAGUAUGAACCAGAACUACCCAUUUAUAUAUAGUUUGGGCUCUGCACAUCUUGGGCUGAGACUGCAAAUCUUGAAAACCAAAAGGCUUGAUUAGAAUAGAAAUCAAGCUUUGGAGGUGAUCAAAAAAGGAUACGUGGCAGUGACGGUAGCGAAGAUGACGAUGAAAGAAUGGAUAGAGAGAAAGGAGUGAGUUCUAUUUCUGAUUAUUGCUUGUAUAAUACUAUGAUUGAAGCACCAAACUAAUUCAAAGCCCAAAUAACCCCGAUAGCAGCUGAUAUCAGCAGUAACAAACUGGCUUGCAUACUGAUAUUCUCCUAACAACUUCUUAUGUCAUGCUAACAUAUUUCCAAAUAUUUACCAGACACAAAUUUGGAGUCAGACAAACAAAGGCUAUUGUUAGAUUAUAUGGAAAAUGAAAAAUUAGUUGACACUUAAAUGAUGUGUGAAAAGUUAUAAUGGUUUGUGGAAUAGGAUCGGUUGAGAAAACUAUAUAUACUUGGUAAGCAUGAUUUACUGGGAAAGGAAACAAGCUCAGUCCAUUUAUCUCCCUCUUUUCAUGCAACGAACUGAAGGUCAAAAGUGGGAAUAAUUUGAACCAUGGAUACUGUUUAUCAGCAACCCCUUGUAAGGAUUUGCCCUCAUCAUCUACCGCUAAAAUGAAAGCAAUCCUUUCACAAGAAAAGUUUAGCUAAGUUAGUGUAUCUGGUCAUGCAAAAGAGGUUUGAGGUUGAUUUUCAGUUACUUUUCAGAUAAUCCUUGUGUAUAAGCUUUGACUCCGUUUCUCUGAACUCUUGAACAUUGCAAUGCUUUGUGUUUUCUACCCUAAUAUUUUAAUAUAUUGUAAUAUAAGUAAGUUGUGUGCAUACUCAUGUAAGUUAUUUAGGCUAUUACAUAAUCUAUAAAGUUGAAAAUUUUAUGGGUAACAUUUUCACUUAAUUUAUCAAAGUUGAAUAAUUAAUAUCAUAUGUGGAAUUACUUUGAACUUGAUCCCAAUGCUGAUUAUAGAUGAUAUUUGUGUUUUCAAUUAUGCACAUUUGCAUUAAACAUGAGCUUGGUUUGGA